rnacentral:rRNA from 1 species
AGAAGUAACCUUCCAGAGAGUGGAUUGGUGCCGUUCGGGAACUCUGACACAGGUGCUGCAUGGCUGUCGUCAGCUCGUGUCGUGAGAUGGUUGGGUUAACGUCCCGUAACGAGCGCAACCCUUGUCCUUAGUUACCAGCACGUUAUGGUGGGCACUCUAAGGAGACUGCCGGUGACAAACCGGAGGAAGGUGGGGAUGACGUCAAGUCAUCAUGGCCCUUACGGCCUGGGCUACACACGUGCUACAAUGGUCGGUACAAAGGGUUGCCAAGCCGCGAGGUGGAGCUAAUCCCAUAAAACCGAUCGUAGUCCGGAUCGCAGUCUGCAACUCGACUGCGUGAAGUCGGAAUCGCUAGUAAUCGUGAAUCAGAAUGUCACGGUGAAUACGUUCCCGGGCCUU